AAACAAUCGAAGCUAACAAAAUUACCAUCUGUCAGCUGCAAAAGGUCACCCUACUUGUAUUUGCAUGUGUUAUUCGCUGAUACAUCACACAGUCCUAGAGACUUUGGAAGUGUCCACAAUGUGAUCCAAUACAACAGCCAGCACAGUUUUCUUGUUUGCUUGUACUAAUCGGGUUGUGUAUCAAACACUAAUAAUCUGAAAUCACAACACAGCCAUAUAUUUUAAUUAUCAGGAUAAUUGCAUUUAUUUAUAUCUCAUUUUCCUCUCUUCAACAAGACUUCAAUAGUGUAUUAUCAGCAUAGGAGUUUUCAAAUAUAAGCAAAACACCUCUCUCACACAAAUACACCAAGGUGCCAGCAUCACAAUAGACUCCUCCUGAGGCCAUAAUAUAGUCAUAUAUGUAUAAAAGUUUGUGUUUAUGGGUUUAUAUUUACUUUCUUGCUGGGAUGUCAGACAGAAAAGACAUAUUUCACUUCAGUCUCACUUGAUUCCUGAGCAUCACAGAGAGAGAUUCACACAAAUAAGAUUUCAGAUUGGGGAGUGGUAUCAUCUUCACUUGGCACAAAUCUCACAUUAAAAAUAAUUAUCAUUAUUUUCUUUCUUACAGGAAGAAAAAGAAAAUCAGAAAUUUGUAUACCAGAAUCUAGAGAUUGAUGAGAAUUUUUCUUCAAUUUUGAGCAAAAUAUGGAAUACAGUAAACAGCAGACUCACUGCCAGGAAUCCAAUUACUCAUUUUUCAAAGGACACGAGGGCAUUCAGAGUCAUCUCUGUAGUGUCCCCCACAUCACUGAAUCAAGAGAUAGUAGAAGUAUUCACCCAGGUCAACCUUCUGUCAUCAGCAAUUUUGAAUAGCACUGCAUAUAUUUGUGUGCUUGGCAAAACCUGGCCCAAGUUCAGAGCCUUAAAAGGUAUGGAAGAAGCCAUCUAAUACAAUAAUUAAGCUUGGACUCCUUCCAUAUGAAGAUAAGAUUCAAAAAUAUUUGGAAUAUUUUUUAGUUUGGGAAAAAAUGAUAUGGAUAAAAUUUAUAAAAAUUACAGAUGAUUGGAUGAAAGCAGAAAAUGAAUAUUCUACUAUUUCUGUUUAACACCCAGAAUAUGGUGGGAUCAUCAAUUAAAUUAAUGGCACAGGACACAAACAGUAGCGGUUGACUCCUUUGGGAAGCAGGAUACUAAGCUCGAUGAAUCACUGGUCUGAUUCAGCAAGAUUCUCUUAAUGUUACUAGUGCAUCACCAUUAAGGGUCUAAGCUAUUAUCUUAAUAAUUAUUAAGAACAUUCUAAUUUUAGAAGAGCAAGCAAGAAAGUGCAGUUCUUUUAGACUACCAUAAUAUGGGGAGGUGCUGAGAUAGAUUUUAUAUUUAAUCCUGCUUUGCUGUGUAUUUAACAGUACUUUGAACAUUUUAAAGUGAAUUUCACUAUGGUUUUCAACAGAAAUAUGCAUAGAUGCCUUUACAAGUAUGUUUUAACAAUAGGAAAUUGAGAAUAUAAUUGCAAUUUCCAACCACAUCAUUUCUUAUAAAAUCAAAUAAGAUUUAUUGCUUGUACCUGUAAACCUUGAAUAUAAAGUGUGGGAAAGCACAUGGUUUUAGCCUACAAUAUAUGGACAAGCCCACAGAGAAUCUGUGAAGUAGCUUUGGAAAACAAGAAAGAGCAGAAAAUAUAUCAUGGAGAAAACACAGUGAAAUGAGCUUUUGUUUUCCAGUUCCACUUAACUGUAUCUUAAAGUAUACUAUAAAAACAAUAGCAUAAGCCAAACCCUUUUAAAUGCAAUUCCUGAUAAUAUAAUAGUACUUGAGAUGAAGAUAGCUGUAGUAAUUAUAACAACAAAUAUAAGGUUUCUCUUCCCAUUCAAUCCCCUUCCUAUUCUUCGGUGACAUAGUAGACAUCUAUAUAGUUCUAAUCUGCUAACCAGAGCUCUACUACCUCCUUUGUUCUCCUUUGUGUGAAUUUGUCUUUAAGAAAAGUUUUAAAAAAACAUAUGGAAAAAAUAAAGUGCGAUUCCUAGAACAAAUUCCUACAACCCCAGGAAAUAUAGAAUUUCACCUCUGGAGGACAAGAGCAAACUUCACGGUGUUCUUAUCUGCCACAUAGAACUCUCCUCAGCUUUCAUGGAUACCAGAAUUCAACUGGUAAUGGAGGAAAGGAAAAAUUUGGUGUGGCUAUUUCCCUUGGAUUCAUAGCUCUUAGUUCCUAAAACAUGAGCAAAACAUGUGGACUUGCCCUGAAAGUCUGAUCUAUCUCCAGUUUUGGUAGAACUUUAUUUUGGUUAAUUCCGCCUUUCUGUUGCUUUAUAAUUUUCACAGCCUUCUUAAACAUGCAAAGCACAAAAGAAACUGUCCAUCACUCUAAGAUAAGCAUCUAGUAGUGGGCAACAAGAAAGUCACCUAUAUAUUACAAAUUGAAUUUCCAUCAUGGAAAGUGCAUUUUAUAAAAUUUCAUUAUCUUGUGAAGGUUAAAACUGACCCCAGUAUAAUAUGUAAUUCAUAAUAGUUAUCUAGCAAUCAAGAAAUGUUCCUCUUUAAUUGACAGUCAACUCAAGGCUAAGAUCAUGACAAAGUGAGAGUGUUAAUAUUUCUUAUUAUUAUUCAAAUAGGAAAUGAUAUCCUCUUUCAAUGAAAAAUCCCUCUGUGCAUUGAACCCCUGGCAGCUGUGGUUAGAAAUAUAGCUGUACUAUCUGGGAUUGUGCAACAUAAAAUAGGAUUAUAGGUCACUGAUUUCGUUAUUUACACGAUUAAUCAUUGUC
rnacentral:lncRNA from 1 species